rnacentral:rRNA from 1 species
UACGUAGGGACCAAGCGUUGUCCGGAAUCAUUGGGCGUAAAGCGCGCGUAGGUGGCUUCGUAAGUCCGUUGUGAAAGUCAAAGGCUCAACCUUUGAAAGCCGAUGGAUACUGCGGAGCUAGAGUACGGAAGAGGCGAGUGGAAUUCCUGGUGUAGCGGUGGAAUGCGCAGAUAUCAGGAGGAACACCAAUAGCGAAGGCAGCUCGCUGGGACGUAACUGACACUGGAGGCGCGAAAAGCGUGGGGAGCGAACAGG